rnacentral:rRNA from 1 species
GAUGUACGCUGGCGGCGUGCCUAAUACAUGCAAGUCGAGCGAAUGGAUUAAGAGCUUGCUCUUAUGAAGUUAUCGGCGGACGGGUGAGUAACACGUGGGUAACCUGCCCAUAAGACUGGGAUAACUCCGGGAAACCGGGGCUAAUACCGGAUAACAUUUUGAACCGCAUGGUUCGAAAUUGAAAGGCGGCUUCGGCUGUCACAUAUGGAUGGACCCGCGUCGCAUUAGCUAGUUGGUGAGGUAACGGCGCACCAAGGCAACGAUGCGUAGCCCGACUGAGAGGGUGAUCGGCCACACUGGGACUGAGACACGGCCCAGACUCCUACGGGAGGCAGCAGUAGGGAAUCUGCCGCAAUGGACGAAAGUCUGACGGAGCAACGCCGCGUGAGUGAUGAAGGCUGUCGGGUCGUAAAACUCUGUUGUUAGGGAAGAACAAGUGCUAGUUGAAUAAGCUGGCACCUUGACGGUACCUAACCAGAAAGCCACGGCUAACUACGUGCCAGCCGCCGCCGUAA